rnacentral:tRNA from 1 species
CGAAAGGUAAGCUAACUCUAAGCUAAUAGGUUCAUACCCUGUAAAUGAAAGUUCACUCUUUUCUCUUUCCA